rnacentral:rRNA from 1 species
AGGGUUUGAUCAUGGCUCAGAACGAACGCUGGCGGCAUGCCUAACACAUGCAAGUCGAACGAGAAAGCACUUCGGUGUGAGUAGAGUGGCGCACGGGUGAGUAACACGUAGGUGACCUACCGUACAGUGGGGGAUAACCAGAAGAAAUUCUGGCUAAUACCGCAUACGCAGUACAAUUUUGAAAGUAGUACUGGAAAGGAUGCUUCGGCAUUCACUGAACGAUGGGCCUGCGUAGCAUUAGUUUGAUGGUGGGGUAACGGCCUACCAUGACUACGAUGCUUAGCUGGUCUGAGAGGAUGAUCAGCCACACUGGAACUGAGACACGGUCCAGACUCCUACGGGAGGCAGCAGUGGGGAAUAUUGCGCAAUGGGGGAAACCCUGACGCAGCAAUGCCGCGUGAGUGAGGAAGGGUUUCGGCUCGUAAAGCUCUGUCAGAAGGGAAUAAUGGUUAUUGGUCUAAUAGGCCUUUAAUUUGAAGGUACCUUCAAAGGAAGCACCGGCUAACUUCGUGCCAGCAGCCGCGGUAAUACGAAGGGUGCAAGCGUUGUUCGGAUUUAUUGGGCGUAAAGCGCGCGCAGGCGGACGGCUAAGUCAGAUGUGAAAUCUCGGGGCUCAACCCCGAAACUGCGUCUGAAACUGGUCGUCUAGAAUCUCGGAGAGGAAAGGGGAAUUUCGCAUGUAGGGGUAAAAUCCGUAGAGAUGCGAAGGAACACCAGAGGCGAAGGCGCCUUUCUGGACGAGUAUUGACGCUGAGGCGCGAAAGCGUGGGGAGCAAACAGGAUUAGAUACCCUGGUAGUCCACGCCGUAAACGAUGUGCACUAGGUUCGGGAGGUAUUGACCCCUUCCGUGCCGUAGCUAACGCAUUAAGUGCACCGCCUGGGGAGUACGGUCGCAAGACUAAAACUCAAAGGAAUUGAC